rnacentral:pre_miRNA from 1 species
AGUAAACACAAUAUUACAUGUAACGUACAUGUAACAUGAAAACACACUGUGUUAUAUUACAGUUAUUCUUGUUGAGUUGACAUUUCAUGUUACAUGUGCGUUACAUGUAACAUUGUGUUUA